rnacentral:rRNA from 1 species
CAGCAGCCGCGGGAAUACAGAGGGUGCAAGCGUUAAUCGGAAUUACUGGGCGUAAAGCGCGCGUAGGUGGUUUGUUAAGUUGGAUGUGAAAGCCCCGGGCUCAACCUGGGAACUGCAUCCAAAACUGGCAAGCUAGAGUACGGUAGAGGGUGGUGGAAUUUCCUGUGUAGCGGUGAAAUGCGUAGAUAUAGGAAGGAACACCAGUGGCGAAGGCGACCACCUGGACUGAUACUGACACUGAGGUGCGAAAGCGUGGGGAGCAAACAGGAUUAGAUACCCGAGUAGUCCCUGUCUCUUAUAA